rnacentral:lncRNA from 1 species
AUAAAUCAAUUACAAUACAAGGUUUCUCAACCGUCAACAGGUUUGAUGAUUGACUUUUUGGACAUAUUUUCCAACAACUUCCACUUGCCCUAAAGCCAUUCAGCACAGUAUCUAAUAUCCAUCUUCGACUUGUGAUUGUCAAACUCCUUCAUCGCUAGGGCUUUAGUGAAGGGGUCAGUCAGGUUCUACUUUCUGUUGAUCUUCUGAAGGUCGACAUCACCUCGAUCCACGAUCUCCCAGACC